AGAGCGAACGCUGGCGGCAGGCCUAACACAUGCAAGUCGAACGAACUCUUCGGAGUUAGUGGCGGACGGGUGAGUAACACGUGGGAACGUGCCUUUAGGUUCGGAAUAACUCAGGGAAACUUGUGCUAAUACCGAAUGUGCCCUUCGGGGGAAAGAUUUAUCGCCUUUAGAGCGGCCCGCGUCUGAUUAGCUUGUUGGUGGGUAAUGGCCCACCAAGGCUACGAUCAGUAGCUGGUCUGAGAGGAUGACCAGCCACAUUGGGACUGAGACACGGCCCAAACUCCUACGGGAGCAGCAGUGGGGAAUCUUGCGCAAUGGGCGAAAGCCUGACGCAGCCAUGCCGCGUGUAUGAUGAAGGUCUUAGGAUUGUAAAAUACUUUCACCGGUGAAGAUAAUGACUGUAAGCCGGAGAAGAACGCCCGGCUAACUCGUGACCAGCAGCCGC
rnacentral:rRNA from 1 species